GUGAUUUUCUUCUCCCUUGAGAACAGGAGUGUUCCUCAGAAAAGCUUUUAGGAGAGCUGUUCCAUUUUAAUUUUCCAGUUGAUGCUAGCUCUUUCUUCCCGAAGGACUGCUCCGUUGGUGUAAAACUGCACAGAGCCAAACAGGAAGACAGCGCCAAGAAAGAAAGUUUCG